rnacentral:rRNA from 1 species
GAUGAACGCUGGCGGCGUGCCUAAUACAUGCAGGUCGAGCGAACAGACGAGGAGCUUGCUCCUCUGACGUUAGCGGCGGACGGGUGAGUAACACGUGGAUAACCUACCUAUAAGACUGGGAUAACUUCGGGAAACCGGAGCUAAUACCGGAUAAUAUAUUGAACCGCAUGGUUCAAUAGUGAAAGACGGUUUUGCUGUCACUUAUAGAUGGAUCCGCGCCGCAUUAGCUAGUUGGUAAGGUAACGGCUUACCAAGGCAACGAUGCGUAGCCGACCUGAGAGGGUGAUCGGCCACACUGGAACUGAGACACGGUCCAGACUCCUGCGGGAGGCAGCAGUAGGGAAUCUUCCGCAAUGGGCGAAAGCCUGACGGAGCAACGCCGCGUGAGUGAUGAAGGUCUUCGGAUCGUAAAACUCUGUUAUUAGGGAAGAACAAAUGUGUAAGUAACUAUGCACGUCUUGACGGUACCUAAUCAGAAAGCCACGGCUAACUACGUG